GACGAAGGGGGCUAGCGUUGCUCGGAAUCACUGGGCGUAAAGGGUGCGUAGGCGGGUCUUUAAGUCAGGGGUGAAAUCCUGGAGCUCAACUCCAGAACUGCCUUUGAUACUGAGGAUCUUGAGUACGGGAGAGGUGAGUGGGACUGCGAGUGUAGAGGUGAAAUUCGUAGAUAUUCGCAAGAACACCAGUGGCGAAGGCGGCUCACUGGCCCGUUACUGACGCUGAGGCACGAAAGCGUGGGGAGCAAACAGG
rnacentral:rRNA from 1 species